rnacentral:lncRNA from 1 species
AGUGUAAGUUUGAACAAUUACAUAGCAUAACAUUACCUUUCUUGUAAUUCAUACGUUAAAUGUUAACGUUAUGUUGUAAUCCCAUUAUACAUUAAGGUAGGGAGACCAUAAGUGAAUUAAGAUGUUGUGUAAUUUCAUGACGUCCCCUUGUAAUAACUUGCCUAUUUUGUAAUAAGAUGUCCAUGGUGCAAUCAUCAACAUUGCUAGUGUAAUAUAAUCCCGUAUAACCAAUAACCUACCUUGACAUUGUAAUAUGACAUUUACCAUAUAACUGAUGAAAUUGGGGUUCCACCAUAAAACCAAUUGGCCAUAUGAGGAGUAGUCCAAGAUCAUAUAAGCACAUAGCAAACCUUGUCCCUCACCAAUGUGGGACAACUCUCAACACGCCCCCUCACGUGUGGCGGUUCAAGCCUACACGUGGACAACAACUGGGUGACGUGGAGCGCGUGUGGCCGUUGGGCUUCACACGUGGACAACCUUGCUCUGAUACCAUGAUGAAAUUGGGGUUCCACCAUAAAACCAAUUGGCCAUAUGAGGAGUAGCCCAAGAUCAUAUAAGCACAUAGCAAACCUUGUCCCUCACCAAUGUGGAACAACUCUCAAUAAUAACCACCAACCUUCUUGUAGUAAUGAUGAUUGUAGACAUAUUGCUUCGUUUAAAGAGAAACGAUGGAUUGAGGCGGAAGGUUAGCCAUGUAUGGUAAUGAUGAUUGUACAAUUAAAAAUGAGAUAACAUUGAGUUUGAGAUGGAUAUAUAUUAAUCCAACCCAAUAUGUGGGUAGCUUUUGCUUUUGCACCAAGAUAGUAUGAAUUGAAACUCCCCUCAUCACUACGUACGAUCAUCACCACUUGCUCAAAACCAGAUCUCACAUAUAUAGAAAUUUGAUUGCACCCUCAUCGUCAACCCUAAUUAAGCAGUAAAGAUGGAAAGCUUAACUUGAUAGCUAUAGAUAGAAUGGGACCAACAGAUUAGCUAAUAUUGGGUUUGAAUUAUUUAUUUCAAAAGCUAUCACUACAAAAAUAACACCUUCCUAGAUGGAAAAGUUUUGUCGGGUCAAAAUGGUUUUCAUCACCAUAAACUUUAGCCGACGGAUUCGUCGGAAAAGAUUGGUCGUGCAAAACCCGUCGCUCGAAGUUUUAACCAACAAAAAUAGCAAUUUGUCAGGUGAAACAGAAUUUGCCCUACGAAUAAUGUUGUCAGGUAAAUAUGCGUUGACUGUUUUGACCCAACGAAAUUAUCUUGCCCAACUACGA